CGUAUAAUAUGUAUGCCUGCCCGGUGACCAUGAGUUUAACGGCCGCGGUAUUCUGACCGCGCAAAGGUAGCGUAAUCACUUGUCUUCUAAAUAAAGACUAGUAUGAACGGCCACACGAAGACUUGACUGUCUCCCUAGUCCAAUCAGUGAAACUAAUCUCCUCGUGCAGAAGCGAGAAUACACCCAUUAGACGAGAAGACCCUAUGGAGCUUUAAACUCAAUAUUAAUUAUAUUUAACUCUUCUCUAAGGAACUAACAACUUUUUAAACUUAAUAUUAGUUUUAGGUUGGGGCGACCAUGGAGAAAAAAAUAUCCUCCCUGAUGAUUUUCUAACCAAGAGCUACAGCUCUAAGUAUUAAGACCCUUAACUCCCAUUGACCCAUUUUAUGAUCAACGAACCAAGUUACCCUAGGGAUAACAGCGCAAUCCAUUUCAAGAGUUCCUAUCGACAAAUGGGUUUACGACCUCGAUGUUGGAUCAGGGCAUCCUAGUGGUGCAACCGCUACUAACGGUUCGUUUGUUCAACGAUUAAAGCCCUACGUGAUCUGAGUUCAGACCGG
rnacentral:rRNA from 1 species